rnacentral:pre_miRNA from 1 species
CAACGUAAUUUUGCUCAUCGGCCCUACGUUGGUCCAACGUGUUGGGCCUACGUUGGUCCAACAUGUUGGACCAACGUAGGGCCGAUGAGCAAAAUUACAUU